UCAGAUGUUCCCCUGAUAAGUUGUUUUGUAAUGGUUGCUUUAUUUGACCACAGCAGAGUUCAAUAUUAUAGAAUGUGUGUGUGUGUGUGUGUGUGUGUGUGUGUGUGUGUGUGUGUGUGUGUGUGUGUGUGUGUGUGUGUGUGUGUGUGUGUGUGUGUGUCAAUAUCCUUACAAAUAUGAAAAUCUGCAUACUGUAUGACACAGAUACGAGUAAGAAUAAAGUAAUCUUCUUUCUAACCCUUUAAAUGUUAGGGGUGGUAAAGGAAGAGUAUGUGCAUAACUCUAAGCUUGGAGUAUGUGCUUAACUCUUACUUGGCUUGGAAGAAGGACAAAAGGAAGGCGAGACCUGGGAAACCUCGCUGCUCUUUCGCUCCUAGCUGUCUGUUAAAGUGAAUAUAAAAAAUCUCAGAUAAUAACUAUUUUAAUUCGCACACAAAAUAACCUGAAGCUAGUUUUAGUUUCCCUAACACUGAUACUUUUCUCAUCAAAAAGAAAGGAGGACCAAGGCACUCUUCAUAUAAUUAAUUUAAAUGCCUUUAUUAGUAUGGCAUGUUCAAUAGAAACAAAGUUUUUAAAAAUCCGACGCGUUUCAGCUGCAUGGCCUUCGUCAGGGAGUACAAAAAAAAAAUACAAUGUCCUCUUUUGAACAGCUUUUCCAAAUAGCCCUAAUUAGAAGAGGGAGUGGUUACAAAAUUGAUUGGACACACCUAGUAAGCAAUACUAUACACAUUAAAAAGUGAAAUACUGAAGCUAUGUUAUCAUAAAAAUACAACUCCAAGCUAGAAGUAUCAGGACACUUAGAAAGGUAGUUCUAAACUUAAAUAUGACCGGGAGAAGUGUCAAGAAUAAGACUACAAUAUAUUCCAUAGUACACUAGAACACAGCAAAACAUGAACAACAACAGUCUAAACAUAGCUGAGGGCAAUUGAGCAAAAUGUCCACUAGAAGACAGAAAAUGGACCUAUCACAACCCUACAGGAAGGGUGAGAAAUCCAUGUCUUCCUUUAAACCAGGGUAUUUAGUGGCCUGUAGAUUGUAAAUCCAAAAACUUUCCCUUUGGUUUAAUUGUUUAAGACGGUCCCCUUUUCUAAUAGAGGCUGGAAUAUGAUCAAUACCCAUAGCUUGUAGGGAGGCAGGAUUGCCAUGGUGUAAGGACUUGUAGUGCCUUGCCAUGGGGUAGUCUUCAUUGCCUACCCGUAUGGCGUAUUUGUGUUCCGCUAAGCGGUCUUGAAGGCGUCUCGUUGUCCGUCCAAUGUAGAACACCUUGCACUGUGGAUAUUCCAAUCUAUAGAUGACAUGAGUGGUUUUGCAGUUAAUGAAAUGCUUGACGUAAUACUCCAUUUUGGAAGCUGUGUCAACAAAAUACUUAUUCUGUGCAAUAUUUCUGCAAUGGUUGCAAUGGUUACAUUUGAAAGAGCCCUUGGGUUUGUGGUCAAGCCAAGUUUGAGAGUCAGCCGGAAGAUAACUGUGGACUAAUUUGUCAUUUAGGCUAGGACAUCUCUUAAAGCUUAUGACUGGUGGCUCAGGAAAGACUUGGCGUAGUAGCGUAUCACUUUGGAUGAUUCCCCAAUUAUUUUUAAUGAUUCUUUUAAUGUUCUCUGCUUCAGUGCUGUAUUUUGUAACAAAAUACACUCUCUCUGAUGUAUCACGAGGCACUCCUCUUCGCAACAAGUUCUCUCUGUCAAGUAAUCCAGCCCUUAUACCUGCAUCUUUCAGGACCUGAACGCUGUAGCCCCGAUUCAAGAAGUGAUUCUCCAAUUCAGCAGAUUUGACACUGUAGUCUGUUUCCUGAUCGCAAAUUCUGCGGACUCUUUGGAAUUGGCCAUAUGGAAUACUCUCUUUUAGCCUUUUGGAGUGAAAGUUGUCUGCCCUCAGAAUGGUAUUCCCAUCUGUAGGCUUCCUAAAGGUUGAUGUGUGCAAACAACCUUUGUCAUUUUUACUAAUGUCGAGGUCCAAAAAAUGAAUGUUAUCCUUGCUGUACUCCAUAGUUAGUUUGAUGUUAGGGUUAAUGCUGUUAAGGUAUUGGUGGAAGGAAAUAAGUUCAUCUUUUGAGCCAGACCAAAACAGGCAAACAUCAUCAAUAUGCAUCCCCACCAUAUAAUCCGGUCAAAGAAAUGGUUAUUAGAAGGAUCCAAAAUGAAGUCAUUUUCCCAUUUACCCAAGUACAAACCAGCGUAGAAAGUGCUGUAGCAAGCUCCCAUGGCACAUCCUUUGACCUGUUUGAAAAUACGGUCCUGAAAGAUAAAGAUGUUAUGAUUAAGAGUCCAUUCAGUCAGUGAGACAAUGAAUUCUGUAGGAGGCAUCUCAGUUUCAGGUCAGGCACUCAAGUAAUGGUGCAUAGCUGCCAAACCUUGUUCAUGCUCAAUGGUGGUAUAUAGAGACCACAUCCAUGGUGACUAAAAAGGAAGCUGUACCAAUAUUGAUACUUUUCUCUUUGUCUUCCUAUGGUUACCUCGGUGGAAGCCAACAAUCUUCUACAGUUGGAGCAGUUGGAUGCCCUAUACUUCAGUGAAGCCCAAUAGACAAAGACCAUCGACUGUCCGAACCCCCCAGGAGGUAUCCCAUCCACCAGAACCUGUGAGUUCAGAUCAGUCUGAUUCUCUGUGCUCUGAGUUGGAGGUGGACCAUCUUGAGGACCUAGAGGUUCUGCCCAACACCCAGACAUGGAUCCAUCUGAUGUCCUCCAUUACCAACCACCCUCCAACUUUUCAUUACAUCAUGUAUUCCCAAACUGGGGUACGCGCAAUGCCGUCGGGGGUACGCCAAAUAAAAAUGUCAUUCACAUUUAUAAAAAAUGAUCUACACUAAAAGUUUGGGGUCACUUAGAAAUGUCUUUGUUUUUGAAAGAAAAGCACAUUUCUGUCCAUUCAAAUAACAUCAAAUUGAUCAGAAAUACAGUGUAGACAUUGUUAAUGUUGUAAAUUACUAUUGUAGCUGGUUUUUAAUGGAAUAUCUACAUAGGCGUACAGAGGCCCAUUAUCAGCAACCAUCACUCAUGUGUUCCAAUGGCACGUUGUGUUAGCUAAUCCAAGUUUAGAAUUUUAAACGGCUAAUUGAUCAUUAGAAAACCCUUUUGCAAUUAUGUUAGCACAGCUGAAAACUGUUGUGCUAAUUAAAGAAGCAAUAAAACUGGCCUCCUUUAGACUAGUUGAGUAUCUGGAGCACCAGCAUUUGUGGGUUCGAUUACAGGCUCAAAAUGUCCAGAAACAAAUAACCUUCUUUUGAAACUCGUCAGUCUAUUCUUCUUGGAAAUUAAGGCUAUUCCAUGCGAGAAAUUGCCAAGAAACUGAAGAUCUCAUACAAUGCUGUGUGCUACUCCCUUCACAGAACAGCGCAAACUGGCUCUAACCAGAAUAGAAAGAGGGGUGGGAGGCCCCGGUGCACAACUGAGCAAGAGGACAAGUACAUUAGAGUGUGUAGUUUGAGAAACAGACACCUCAUAAGUCUUUAACUGGCAGCUUCAUUAAAUAGUACCCGCAAAACACCAGUCUCAACGUCAACAGUGAAGAGGCGACUCCGGGAUGCUGGCCUUCUGGCCUUCUAGACUGAGACUCUCUCACAAUUUUCAUUGAAUAAAUAAGGUUUUAUAUGUAAGAUGGCUAAAUAAAGAGCAAAAUUAUUGAUUAUUGUUAUAUUAUUAUUUGUGCCCUGGUUCUAUAAGAGCUCUUUGUCACUUCCCACGAGCCGGGUUGUGACAAAACUCACACUCAUUCUUAUGUUUAAUAAAUGGAUUGUAUAGUGUGUGUGUGUGUGGCAGAUUUACAAUGAUGGCAAAAAACAACAUUUGAGAGUGAGCUGACCUUGGUGCUAGAGGGGGUACGCAGCUGGAGGUUGAAUGUUUGAAGGGGUACGGGACUAUAAAAAGUUUGGGAACCACUGCAUUACAUUAUCUACAGCUACUGUUGUUGUCAUGUUGUCAAUAUCUACUAAGAAAGUUUUUUUGCUCUAUUAUACUGGGCACAUAAUAUGUGAGAUACACAGAAGGAUUGGACCUUCAAUUUUCACCUAAAAUGACAUACCUAAAUCUAACUGCCUGUAGCUCAGGGCCUGAAAGCAAGGACAUGCAUAUUAUUGAUACCAUUUGAAAGGAAACACUUUGAAGUUUGUGGAAAUGUGGAAUUAAUGUAGGAGAAUAUAACACAUUAGAUCUGGUAAAAGAUAAUGCAAACAAAAUAACAUGCAUUUUCUAUAUAU